rnacentral:rRNA from 1 species
AGGACGAACGCUGGCGGCGUGCUUAACACAUGCAAGUCGAGCGGAAAGGCCCUUCGGGGUACUCGAGCGGCGAACGGGUGAGUAACACGUGAGUAAUCUGCCCCUAGCUCUGGGAUAGCUCCGGGAAACCGGGAUUAAUACCAGAUACGACCACUUUAGACAUCUGUUGUGGUGGAAAGAAUUUUGGCUAGGGAUGAGCUCGCGGCCUAUCAGCUUGUUGGUGAGGUAACGGCUCACCAAGGCGACGACGGGUAGCCGGCCUGAGAGGGCGACCGGCCACACUGGGACUGAGACACGGCCCAGACUCCUACGGGAGGCAGCAGUGGGGAAUAUUGCGCAAUGGGCGAAAGCCUGACGCAGCGACGCCGCGUGGGGGAUGAAGGCCUUCGGGUUGUAAACCCCUUUCAGCAGGGACGAAGCGAAAGUGACGGUACCUGCAGAAGAAGCGCCGGCUAACGUACGUGCCAGCAGCCGC